UACGGGGGGGGCAAGCGUUGUUCGGAAUUACUGGGCGUAAAGGGCUCGUAGGUGGCCAACUAAGUCGGACGUGAAAUCCCCCGGCUUAACCGGGGAACUGCGUCUGAUACUGGAUGGCUUGAGUUCGGGAGAGGGAUGCGGAAUUCCAGGUGUAGCGGUGAAAUGCGUAGAUAUCUGGAGGAACACCGGUGGCGAAGGCGGCAUCCUGGACCGACACUGACGCUGAGGAGCGAAAGCCAGGGGAGCAAACGGG
rnacentral:rRNA from 1 species